rnacentral:rRNA from 1 species
UACGUAGGGUGCAAGCGUUAAUCGGAAUUACUGGGCGGAAAGCGUGCGCAGGCGGUUGUGAAAGUCAGAUGUGAAAUCCCCGGGCUUAACCUGGGAACUGCAUUUGUGACUGCACAGCUGGAGUGCGGCAGAGGGGGAUGGAAUUCCGCGUGUAGCAGUGAAAUGCGUAGAUAUGCGGAGGAACACCGAUGGCGAAGGCAAUCCCCUGGGCCUGCACUGACGCUCAUGCACGAAAGCGUGGGGAGCAAACAGG